rnacentral:lncRNA from 1 species
AAUUUUCAACCAAUCAUUUCAAAUAAUUCACUAAGUAAUAAUUUAUUCUCAAAUAAAGAUAUUAAUUUUUUGCCAUUAGAUCUUAUUUAACGAUUGAAAAUAAAAGUAUCUGUCACUUUUUGUGACAUUAAUACCCUCCAUAUCCGUUAUCUCCUAUAUACGCCGCGUUUCUCAAAUAUUUUCUUUUUACCCAUCAAUCAUGUAAUACGUAAAACUAAAUUUAUCUCUUAUCUAAUGUAAUACCUACCAAUCACAUAAUACUUCCGCUAAUUACGUAAUACGUAAAAUUAAAUUUAUUUCCUAUUAAUGUGUUUUCUCAAAUAUUUUUUCUUCUCAAACGUAAUACCUGCCAAUACGUAGUAUUCAAAAUUAAAUUUUAAAUUUGUAAUACCCGCCAAAAUUUAAUACCCUCGAAUUUGAUAAUUUGAAUUUUAAUUUAUAAUAGUAGAUUUUUUCUUACAUAAGAUAGUAAAUUUAAUUUUGAUAAGUAUUAAAAUUUGGCGCAUCACAGAAGCGUUAAAUAUUGUCAAAAAACUUUUAAUACCCUCAAAUCAAACUAAAUCGUUAAUUAAAUAUAAUUUGAAAUAUUUUUAGCAAAAUAUUCAAUAUUUAAAUAAUGCGUCAUAAAAGUAUAGAAUAUUUCAAUCAAAACUAAAUCGUUAAUUAAAUAUAAUUUUAAAUAUUUUUAGCAAAAUAUUUAAUAUUUAAAUAAUACCCACCGAAAUAUUUAAUAUUUGAUCUCAUUCUAACCUAAUUGGUAGGUCUACGAACGCAUCGGUGCGCUUGGUUCGGCGAUACGACGAGCGUGCGCAAAGAUAUUGGAGAAAGAAGCAGAAAUAGUACAGAUCGUCGUAGCUCGCGGUGAACAAGUCUAAAAAUCGUGA